GACAGCUCUGCCAAGGUGGAGGAAAUAAAGGUAACUGAUCCUUUGCUGCCCUUCAUGCAACUCAACACCUCUUAUUAGUACUGAGAACUCGGAAGUAUUGCAAACUGCAGUACAAGUCUGCUGCCUGGAAACAAUAACAGAAGCCAUAAGGAACAUCCUUCACAGCGGAUUUGACUCAAGGACACAUUGUAUUCAUGCCAUGAAUGCAAUGUCAACAGUAGGGGGAGGACAGGAUCAAUACGAGGCAGAAUAAUAAAGAUAAUUCCUGCUGGCCACGGAUGGCUCUUUGCUGCGACUGUAGGGUGGAUGAAUUGACACGCACUGUGUUGGUGCACAAAGGGACGAAAUGAGAAGAACUACAGGUACAAUACAACUGCUGUGCUCGCGUGCUACAUACAGUAUGUCUGCGUGAUCCUCUUCUUACAUCCUGCAUUCAAAGUGGCCUAAUCUUCUUCUGCAGCUCAAGGCCGGGCUUACUCUUCAUGACCACACUAACAUCCUUUCCCAUAACAAGCAAUGGAAAUUGAAUCCAUCUGUUCCAGGGUCAAACUAUUGCUGCCAUGAAACCUGGAUAUGAAGUGUAGCAUGUUAACAUGAUUAACUAUGAAGGACUAUAUACUGUCAUUCAACUAAAUUAAUUCACAUCUUCAUGAUGUGUGAAGGAAGUGUAGGAGACGGCAUUGCUGAGGAAUGGAGUGGAUGUGGUGCUUUUCUCCACUCUCGCAUCAAGUGUAAAAAGAAGUUAACCACUCUACAAUAAAACUACGUAUUUUCUGGACAAUAAGUUGCACUUUUUUUCAUAGGUUGGCUGUUCCUGCGACUUAUACUCCAGAGUGACUUAUAAAUGAA